UCUUUUUUCCAAAAAAAUUUCAAUUCCCUCUCUCUUUCAAAAUUGAUUUCAGAUCUCCCUCUCAAAAUUUUAUAUCUUUCCAUAUGUUUCUCUCAGAAUUGAUUUCAGAUCUCCCUCCCAAAAUUUCAUUUCCCACAUGUUUCACAAUCUCUCUGUCUGUGUAAGAUGUUUCCCUAUCUUAGAGUUUCAAAUCCUCCAUGUUGCCCUAUUUCUUCUAACUUUCUUCAUCUUCACCCCCCACCGUAGCUUCGUUCUUCCCACAUAAUGAAAUAAUCAGAAAAUGGCUCCCUCUCUCUAGUUAUCUCUCUCUUGCAUCUCUCACACAGUCUCUCGAUAUAGUUGCCAUCCACCGGCCAACGACCACCACACAAUCGAACAACCACCGUAGCGUUACCCACCAUCGUCGUCUUCGAGCAUCUGUCUAAUUGCUGUCACAUCGUGCCUAAGAUCAUUAUAGGUCGCUGACCACUGUUUCUUCUUCACUUCUUGGUCUUUCAUUUCUUAGUUCGUCUCUAUCUUGUUCUCCAAACACAUUGAAGACCACAUGGAGUUUAUACCCAGUGGUGAAGUAGAGGAGUUAAAAUCCCUCAAUAACAAGUUGUCGAUCUGAUCCACCAAGUUUUCCCCUCUUCUUCAAGCCAAAUCCAUGAUUAUCACAUCACUUCCAACUUUAAGUUUGCAACUAACUCCUUUGAAACCCUUGUCACCCUCCAUCUUCAUUUGGGUCAUCAUUUAUGAUUGAUUCCAAAAAUUCUCGGCAGGCUAUUUUAGACUCAAAUCUUGGAAGGUAGAGAACCUAGUUUUGCUUCUUAUCUAUGGUAUUCUUCGUUGUUAGGAGAAUAAUUUCCAGAGAAAGCUGAAUAGUGAAGCCCUUGCCAUCGAUUCCAAUGCCUUGUCCAACUUGUUGGUCAUGUGACUCAUUUCAUUGCAUUUCUUUCCUUGAACAGAAACCUUCUCUCCUUAUUUCCUUAAUUCAAGCUUAUUUUGAGUCUCACAACCCAAUCCAAGGCACCAAGAGGAUAGUAGGGAAGAUCUUGUGGUGGUUCACCAGUAGAAAUCAAGGAGAUUGCAGCUAAAGAACGUGAAUCAAAAGUAUUUCAAAGGUUAGUGUUGAAACUCUGAUUUUAGUUUAUGAGCAUGCUUAUGUUGAAACUCUGGUCUUAGUUUAUAAGCAUGCUUAGUUUGAUGUCAAAAUUAAUGAAUUAGAAUACUUAAUAACUAUGUUCUACUUCCGUUACUUGCAUCCUGAAUCCAACAAUUUUAUUGUUUGAAAUUUUCCAGAAUUAUGUUAAGCUUAAUUCUUCCAUGAAUGGAAUUUGAAGUACCUAAGAUUAUCGUUACAUCUUAGAGGUAACAAAAGUUCUAAAAGAUUGCUUCAAACACCAAAGAAGAGGUAACUUAAGUUCUAAAAGAUUACUUCAAACACCUAGGUUUUGAGAUUAUCGUUGGUUUUUAUGGUUUCACUUUUGUAUUAAACAAAGGAUAAUAGUGAUUGCUCGGUUAGUCAUUUCUUUUAAUCCAAAACCAUCCAGGUAAAAAAACUAAAAACUUCUUGUUUUUCAUCUUUUCUUUUGGUGGGAGUGUAUUUUUUCUUAUAAUAAAAAUUAUUGAGACCUCCCUUCUUUCUUGUUUAUCAUUUUUUCUAUCUUAAUUAUACCAGGAAGAUUGGAAUGGAGUUGGUGCUUAGACAAACUACAGGUAAUAGAAAAACACAAUAGAUGUACCAAAUUCUAUAUUGCAAAUGAAAAAUGGUAAAUUGAUAGUUAGAGAGGAUUGUUACUUGCUAAGAUUGUGGCAUCACUUGAGGAGUUUCAAUUAAUUUUCAUAUAUGGAAAGCCACGAGGAUUGAAAAUAACAACAAAUAAUUGAUGAUUUGAGGGUAGAUUCCUUUACUUGUCCUAAUUAGUUUUUAUGUAACCAUUCGAAAAAUGGCAAUUUCCUAAUUCUUUUUUCAUGUAGCCAUUGAAAUUUGUUGGUCCAAAUUAUCGGUUAGUUGCUUGUUGAGGUAUAAUGUAUUGUUGAUCUCACAAGGCUGAGGUUGAAUUUCUUUUUGAUGUAUAUGGUUUUGAGUUAUGUAGCUGUCCACUUUUGUGUGUAUUUCUCAUUGAUU